GACGGAGCUACUUCCGCCCAGGGGAGUGGGAAGUUUCAACAGAAAAUGAGAAAUAUCCCCCGACGAUUGGCUGAAAACAUGCAGCAACCACUAUUUUCUUCCUGCCCCUCGUUGAUGAGAGCAUUCGAAGUGACCUCAGCAGGGCAUCCAGGUCAGUUUCUGGAAGACUUGUGUGUGUGAUGAAUGAAUAUCUGGUUUUGUCUCUGCUGGGCCUGUGUGCCUGGAAAGGAAUUGUUUUGGCCUAGGAUCAUCCAGGUUUGUUUGGUUUAGUUCUUGACCACAUAUUUUUUGAAUGGUGACUGCUUAAGACCCUGUUGUGUAUGGCUAUAAAUAGAUACACGCCAAGGUGACCACAUACUCUGUGGUUCCUGUGCCCGCCGGCCAUGUGUCUGAGUGUGUAGCCUCUCAUCAUCUAAAGGAACUUUGGCUGCAGAGGGGAGGCCUGGUCCCAUGGGAAGUUUUGGGAGCGCAGCAGCAGGUGGGUUCAAACGACCCAGCAAGUGCCUCCUUAGCACUUAGAGGCGGAGGCCACCACGUUGUCCACGUGGGGUUUCUGAUCCCAGCUCCCCACCAGCCUGCUGGACCUCGGGCAGGUCCCUCCCUGUUUGUACCUCCAUUACUUCUUCAGUAAGAUGGGGACACUGAAGAUGACCAUGCCUCCCACCAGAUUGGUGCUUUUUUUGUUUUAAUAAGGGACAGAGUCUCACUAUGUUGCCUAUAGGCUGGUCUCAAGCUCUUGGCCUCAGUUUUCCUGCCUCAGCCUUCAAAUAUGCUGGGGUGACAGGCAUGAGCCACUGCACUGGCCCAGAUUGGUACAUUUGAGGGUUAAAUGAGCAAAUCCUAUAAAGCACUCAGGAGAGGGCUGUGGGGUUUGGGCUGGGGCCUGGGAGCACUUUAGACGUGGUAGCUAUGUUGUUGUCACCUUUCUCCUCUUUCAAAGCAUUUUUUGUUUGUUUGUUUUUGUUUUUGAGACAGAGUUUCGCUCUUGUGGCCCAGGCUGGAGUGCGGUGGUGUGACCUCGGCUCACUGCAUCCUCCGCCUCCCGGGUUCAAGUGAUGGGAUUACAGGUGCCUGCCACAACGCCCAGCUAAUUGUUUGUAUUUUUAGUAGAGACGAGGUUUCACCAUGUUGGCCAGGCUGGUCUCGAACUCCUGACCUCAGGUGAUCCACCUGCCUUGGCCUCCCAAAGUGCUGGGAUUACAGGUAUGAGCUACCGCGCCCGGCACAAAGCAUUUUCAGCUGUGAAAUUCCCUGGGGUGCUGCAGUAGAGGAAGGUUUGGGGUCUUGACGGGUGCUAUUUGCCACGGAAAGAUGCCUUCCUGCUCCCAGGGCAGGAGAGCCGAGGUAAGACUUACUGUAGGCUGUCGUUUUUUUUGUUUGUUUUUUGUCUUUGCGAUGGAGUCUCACUCUGUCGCCAGGCUGGAGUGCAGUGGCAUGAUCUUGGCUCACUGCAGAACCUCCACCUCCCAGGUUCAAGCGAUUCUCCUGCCUCAGCCUCCCAAGUAACUGGGAUUACAGGCACAUGCCCCCACAACCAGCUAAUUUUUUAUUUUUAGUAGAGACAGGGUUUC
ensembl:lncRNA SNHG20 small nucleolar RNA host gene 20